AUCUUAGAGAUAAGACGUUCCCUUCGGGGACAGAAUGACAGGUGGUGCAUGGUUGUCGUCAGCUCGUGUCGUGAGAUGUUGGGUUAAGUCCCGCAACGAGCGCAACCCUUAUUAUCAGUUGCCAGCAUUAAGUUGGGCACUCUGGUGAGACUGCCGGUGACAAACCGGAGGAAGGUGGGGAUGACGUCAAAUCAUCAUGCCCCUUAUGACCUGGGCUACACACGUGCUACAAUGGAUGGUACAACGAGUUGCGAACUCGCGAGAGUAAGCUAAUCUCUUAAAGCCAUUCUCAGUUCGGAUUGUAGGCUGCAACUCGCCUACAUGAAGUCGGAAUCGCUAGUAAUCGCGGAUCAGCAUGCCGCGGUGAAUACGUUCCCGGGUCUUGUACACACCGA
rnacentral:rRNA from 1 species